UACGAAGGGGGCGAGCGUUGUUCGGAAUUACUGGGCGUAAAGGGCGCGUAGGCGGCCAUUCAAGUCAGAGGUGAAAGCCCAAGGCUCAACCUUGGAACUGCCUUUGAUACUGUUUGGCUUGAGACCGGUAGAGGUAAGUGGAACUGCGAGUGUAGAGGUGAAAUUCGUAGAUAUUCGCAAGAACACCAGUGGCGAAGGCGGCUCACUGGCCGGUACUGACGCUGAGGCGCGAAAGCGUGGGGAGCAAACAGG
rnacentral:rRNA from 1 species